ensembl:lncRNA
GCUUUUGGUAAAUUCCUCUGCUUCUGGAAACCGUUACCUGGAUUUAUUUCCCGCUCUCCGUGAACGAGGCUGCAAGUUACAGACGAGCUGGGAGUCAGAAGAUCUGCUCUACUGGAGGGUUUUCCUUAAAAAAAAAAAAAAAGUAAAAGAAAAACAUUUCAUAUAACAGCUUUUCAGUUCAGCUUUGUGUUUCUACAUGCAGUUAUACCUGACGUGAGUAACAGCAAACUGUCUCACUUGCCUGCUUUCCAAUGAAACACUUCUGUGCUCGUUUCCUGUCUCGCUCGGCUCGCUGUUCUAAGGCAUUGUGGGAAGUGUAGAGUCCAUCCAUGAGCCUCAUCAUCACGUCUGACAUCCUGGAGCUAACCGCUACGACAUCCGGUCGCCGCUCCGCAUCUGGGGCCAAACACCUGCACAGCUAUUUGUCAGGCUCAUACUCGGCCUCCACGAUCUAUCAGCACAAAAAAGGAGGAGAAUUUAUCAUGGGAUUGAUGGUGUUUACAGUCAGGGGAAACCUGGAGGCUUUGGUGUGUUUCUGUCACCUUGCUGGCCAGAGAGAGAAUGUUGCUGCUGUAGAACGGAGGCUUCAGAGUGGCCAUUUGGUAAAGGAUGCAGCCCAAAGCCCAGAUGUCGGCUUUUUCUCCGUACGGCUCAUUUUUUACCACCUCUGGGCUGUUCACAGGCGUCAUCAUCAUCAUCAAACCACUAGUCAGUUGGAAAAAGCUAAUAACAUCCUCAAACAGGCUCUCAUUAAUAUACAUGUAUAUAGAUAUUCAUUUUGUAUUUUCAUAUUUGAAAAAUGUUGGCGUUAAAGAACUAUGGUACCCUGCACAGGUCAAGCUUUUGUCACACCCGUUUGACCUGUAUGGGUGCUGCAGGUUUUUGGGUUGUCCGGGUGGAGCGUCAUAGAGAGGAGUGGUUGUGUCUACAGGGGAGCGCAGGUGUGUUUUGCAGUUCCCUUGAGGCUCGCAUGGUCACCUCAUGAAAAUGGAACGGACCAUUGAUCUUACACGGGGUAAGUGUAUCGGGAUGUAAUCGGAAGGAUAAUGGAAGUUGCACGCACUCAUAAUGUGUGGUUGAUGCUGUUUUCUGGUGCCCUUAUGCCACACUCUAGUCGUCAGUAAGGUGCACACACCGACUGCACACAAAUGGGUUGUGCACGUGAUACGCCUGUAGGAUGUCCUCACAAAUGCCAUCGAUUGUCUAACUUCCUCAUUUUUAACAGUCAGGCCGCACGUAGUGAGCGCACUUCUUACGCGAACAGCCUUAACAGGCUCCCCGUGCAGUCUGCAGGAUUUGGGAGGUUGAAAAAUGGAAAAUCCGUACGACACGCCUGCGCCUCACCUACUUCACCCUCACUCUCCCUUACAUGCACAUAGUAAAAAUGUGCAGGAAGGUUUUCUCUCUACGGGUUCACUGAAGCGAUCCAUGGCCUUGUUAUUUUUCGGGUUAGCAGUGGCUCAGACGAUUGAGUUGAUUGUCAGUAGUUAUGCUGAUGAUACUCUGCUGUAGUUUGGUAUUAAAACUGGUAAAUGCCGUAUACUUAUACAGCACUUUUCUACCUUCUAAAUGGGCCCAAAGUGCUUGACAGUCCCAGUCCCAUUCACCCACUCACCCAUUCACACACUGAUGCUGCCGAAGAAUGGCGCCAACCAGGUUGUGCAGCUUUCCUCACAAUGUUCCCGUACACUCCACACAUGGAUGACCUAAUUACAGUUCCUAAAACGCUGCCUCUUAUUCUAAUAGCAGAUUGUUUUCUCCUACUAAAUGUACAAAACCAAACUUUGGACUGAACAGAAUUAGACCAUAAUUAGACCAUUUCCACCUGAAUUUUUAAUAAUUUAAUUUGUUUUCUUUGCUGUCUCUUUAGAUGUUUGCUGUCUGUUAAAACUGCAAGUAAACUGAAUUUAAUUUUUUCACCAACGCACUUGGUGCC